CCACCGGAGACCAGAGCGGAGGCCGCACCGAGGGCCUCAGGUUCCGACCCCACCGCGCCUCUAGCCGCAGCUGCCCGCCGGGCAUCCCAGCCCUUCCGCAGCGAGAGGUGGAGCCGGAGGCUGGGUUGUGGGCUCCAGGUGGGCUCUGGGAGGGAUGAAGCAGGCCCUGGUGGACGAUACUGAGGAUGUGUCCCUGGAUUUUGGCAACGAAGAGGAACUGGCGUUUCGGAAAGCCAAGAUCAGGCACCCGGUGGCCACGUUUUUCCACCUGUUUUUCCGAGUGAGUGCCACCAUCACCUAUGUGGGCUGUGACUGGUUCAGCAGAAGCUUCGUGGGCUGUUUUGUCACCGUGCUUCUCCUCCUGUCCUUCGACUUCUGGUCUGUGAAGAAUGUAACCGGACGACUCCUGGUGGGCCUUCGCUGGUGGAACCAGAUCGACGAAGAUGGGAAAAGCCACUGGAUUUUUGAAGCCAGAAAGGUCUCUCCAAAUACCGUGGCUGCCACAGAGGCGGAAGCUCGGGUCUUCUGGCUCGGCCUCAUCAUCUGCCCCAUGAUUUGGAUCGUGUUCUUUUUUAGCUCCUUAUUUUCCUUGAAGCUCAAGUGGCUGGCCCUUGUGAUAGCUGGGAUUUCUCUCCAAGCCGCUAACCUGUACGGCUACGUCCUUUGUAAGAUGGGAGGCGAGAGUGACAUCAGCAAAGUCACAGCCAGUUUUCUGUCCCAGACGGUGCUCCAGACGGCUUAUUUUCCGAGGCAGCGAAGGCUCAAGUGAGAGGUUCUGUAGUGGAACAGCUUCCGACAGAGAAGAAAAUUCCAUGACCCACAAGCCGCUGGUUUUUUACAUGAAGCAGGCCUUGGGGCAGAGGAGCCGACGAGGUUCUCCCCUUUUGGCUGACGCAGACUACAGAACUCCUGGAUUCCUGGAAAACAAGACAGCAGGUAAGGAAGCAGUUGCGGCUCUUGGUGGCCCUGCCCUUUGCUGGCGAGGCCGCGUCUAGAUGGGGUGGAGUCCUCAGGUGGCUUAAUUCUCCCAAUAGUCCCAUUUCGGCUUAUGCCCUGAAUCUGAAAGUGAGCCCAAUACUGCCCACUGCCCACCUGUGGUUAUAACCACAACUGGAGGCCUCACGCUGGCCCAUUCUACAGAUCAAGAAUCCCGGAAAUGAUGUGAUUUACCCUCAACACCAUUUCACUAGGUCAAAAGGACUCAGCCACAAACCGGGAGCCUAAAGCUUUAACUACUGACGACACCUGUGCCUUAGAUUCAGCGCCCCUGAUGGCUGCCUGUCGUUGACUGAAUCAGGCCUGCACGUGGGCUGGGUCUGGCUCACUGUGCUGCUUUUUUCUUCUUCAUUUCUUUUUAUAGCUUUAUUGAGGUGUAUUUCCUAUACCAUAAACUUCACCGUGUUUUUUAAACUAUGACUUAGUUCACAACACUGAGGUACCAGAAGAUUUUUCAAGACUCCUGGCUUCCCGGGCUGAUGGGGUCAUCCCAGACCUCACUACCCCAGUGUCCCCACCAAAGCUGUGUGGCCACUUAUGGCUGCAGUGACCACGUAUGGUCCUGAACGGGGCCUUCUCACACCCAGCCCACUCUGCUCAUUUAAGUCACUUCCUGGCCCCGUGCCGUCGGGAUUCACAGGACUCGCUUCAACACUUACUCUGGAUUAUACUUCUGUAGGCUAAAGUGGCUGGUGAAUCCGGGGCUUCAACCAAAAAAGACUGUCCUUUGUCGCAACUCUUACCUUAAAGAAACAAAGGAAAGAAAAUCCAUGAAGAAGCACAGUGGUGAUGUGAACCUGGGGCUCUUUCUGUGCCCAUGACACUGAAGGUCGAGCCCACCUCACUUGUAAUGAAGAUCAAAGCUGAGACAGAAUGUCGGGGUCUCGAGGACCUCACCUUCCCCCCCCCAUCCAGCAGGGACCCUGGCUAGCGUUUCCUCGCAGCUCUGACCUGUACCUGGCUGAUGGUGUUUAGUGUGUGUGCCUGCGAGUCAUCUGGGUCAUGUGCAGCAAAUGCAGGUUCCAGGGCCCCCACUGUGAUCAGAUACAGCAGCUCCUAGGCAGGCCCAGGAACCUGCAUUUAAAAGACCAAUUCAUUCUUUCAGCAAAAAGAUAAUGAAGGCACACAGUAAGAGUAUGGAAUACAAAAGGUUAUACCACGAAGAAUGAGUUCAAAGGAGGCUACCAGUGUUUCAAGUAUCCUUCUAGAAAUAUAUGCAUAUAUAUACAUAUACACACUCAUGUAUUUAAAAAAAAUGCUUGGGAGUGUAUGACACACAUAUUCUGCCCGUUGCGUUCUCCAUGUGUAAUUUUAUCUUGAAGGUCUCUCCAGGUUGGCAUCCAUCCAUCUGCUCUGUGUACUGCAGUGCCGCCUCGGGACACACAGGUGGUCUCGCAUCCAGGUGAGCACGAGGCGGGACCUUGGGCACGCGGCGUGCUCCCCUCCCGUCUGGUCCUGGGUAGACCCUGCUGCCAGCUCCUCUGCCCCCGCCCCCCCUGCUGGAGAAGCAGGAUCAGUGGUUCCACGACCCACAGCCACUCCCCAGCCUCCUGGGGGGAUCCUGGCCAGGCCAACCGUGGAGCAGUCGUCGCCUCAGCUCCCCAGCAUGUUGCCCGGUGGGACAGGGACACCCGAGACGGGGGGCAAAGUGGGCCCCCAUGUGGCCCGGGCACUGUGAACUGUGGCGGAAGCAGCUAGGGAAGCCUCCGAGUUCACGGUCGCUGGACUGGGUCUGGGAAGUCACAGGUCCCACAACAGGCUCGUGGGGCCACUUCCUUCUGAUUUUCAUCCAGCGUCCUCUCACUCCUCGUCCUCCCUUCCCCAGAGGACAUGCCUGUCCCCUUAUAAAUGCGCUCUGGUCAGUUCCCCGUCUCCACAAACCUCCCCCUCCUGCCUGUCGCCUGCAGGCGGCACCCCUUGGGCACUGCCCUGUCCAAGGCUCCCCUUGUGGCCCUCCUUCCAUCUGUGCAGCCCCUGGCUCCAUCACCGUGCCCACCUCGCAGGUGCGGCCUGAGGUUCAGCGCCUGGCAAGGACCCGCCGGAGCCCGCAGCCAGCGCUGGGGCAGCGCGGAUCUAGGCCAGGGCGCCCGGCCCCAGACGUGCUUCCGCGUGACC